AGAAAGAGAAGAAGAGCUGCUGUACAGUAUUUCCAAUUCGAAAAAGAAAAGGAGCUGAAAACGAUUUCUGACACGGAACGAUGGCACAACAGAACCAGGCAUGGACUCAAAGAAUAAAAAGCUCAGUAUAUUUAAAGAAACUUUAGAUCCAUUAAACAAAACUAAUGAGAUGUACGAUUAUAUACUGUAUAGCGAAUCCAAGUGUUCUCUGUUUAUCGUCAUUACUGACAUAUCCUAUUUUUAAGCAUAUCGUUUUAAUUAUUUUUUACCUCUUGUAUUAUUUCUUUUUAAUAUUUGCCGUAUUAUUUCAUCUAUAUUAACAUUUUCACUUAUUUAUGAGAUGUUAUGUAGAGAAUCUGCAAUGUUAGUGUACAAUAUGAAAGGUAUUUAUGUUUAUCGUCGUCAUUAACGUAUGUUAAAUAUCUUAUCUUAAUUUAGUUAAGUUAGCUAUUUAUAAAAGCACGUUAGCGCUUUCUGCCAAAUUAGUAUUACACUAGUCAUUUAGCCCGUUAUAAUAACGGGCGCUAGAACAGUAGUGCAUAAACAUUAUUAGGAACAGUCUAUAUUAAAUGGCAACGGACUUUGACCUCAUUCCGUUUGUUGGUGGUAUUUUUCUUUCUUUCAGCCUUUCUUUUGUUGAUGUUUACUUGCUGAGCUGACCGUUCUUAGUGGGCUGCCGCCGUGUAUUGUGUGUCUUUAAUUUUCUGUGACAGUAAUACUGUCUUGUACGUCCGUAAUAUACCUUUAAUUUUCUCUGGCGGUAAUACAGGCGUGCGCGUUGGUAAUAUGCCUUUAAUCUCCUCUGACAAUAAUACUGGCUUGUAUGUGGCUGUAAUAUGCGUCACUGUAUUGUGUACCUUUAAUUUCCUCUCGCAGUAAUACUGGUUUGUAUUUCCGUAAAACGCCUCUAACUUUCUCUGACAGUAAUAUCGCGCAUUGCACAGUUCACCGCGCAUGCGCACUUCACCAGAAGAGAGACACACGGACACCUGGACGCACAAAGGGAUUUUAUUAAAGAGGAUAUUAACUUUUUCACUUAUUUAUGAGAUGUUAUGUAGAGAAUCUGCAAUGUUAGUGUACAAUAUGAAAGUCACAUUUCUCCAUAAAGGCAGAGAAUAUAAAAACAACUUUGAUAACAUUGAUUAAAUAUCCAAAUGAAUCCAAGUGCCCUCUUUGUAAAAAGCACAGAGACUACAGCAUCCUGCGACAUCAUCUUCAGAGUCAUGAAGGCCACAUUGUCAAGUGUGCAGGUUUAGACUGUAUUGAGCCAUUAAUGAGAAGACAGAGUAAAGACUUGGCACUACAUCUGAAAUGAACAAAUGUCUUGCUAUUCUGUUCCAUAGCACUGCAUUCUGCAGAUUUCAGAUUUUUUCUUUCAGAAGAAACGUCAGCGUCCCUUCUCCAACAUCCAGCACAGGGCACUGAUGAGCAGCAGCAUGGAAUCCUUCAGCAUUUCACCGAGGCACAGAAGUGGUGUGCUGAGAACAUUUCUGUGUUCAGGGGGCACAUCUCACUCCCUGCAUUACUGUCAAUGGACAAAGACGACACUGAGGAGGCCCUUCAGAAAUCUGAUUUGCUAUCUGAAUUUCCAGAAGAAGAGGAGAGGGAAUAUGUCGUUAGACAUAUUUUUUUCACAUAUGGAAGACAUGCAUCUGUUUUUAGAUUAACGUGAGGAAAAAGGAAAAUGACUGAGUUUUGUGAGAAAGUGUAACAAACAUACAUGUCCCUCAUUGUUCAGUUACAACCUACAAUUCUUGUUCUAUAUUUUAUAUGUUCUUUAACUUUUUUGUAAUAAAUGUUGCAAACCAACUUCA